UGCGGUCAUGGCGGAAUGGCAGACGCGCCAGCUUGAGGGGCUGGUGGGAGUUACUCCCGUGGAAGUUCGAGUCUUCUUGGCCGCAUC
rnacentral:tRNA from 2 species